ensembl:lncRNA
CAGUAAACAUUGUAAACACGAGUUUAUGUCUCAGUCUCUAGUUUCAAGUCUUCUUCAACACAACAUGAUGUUCAUUUAGUGACUGAUGGUCCAUGUAGAGUCACACAGACCAUGAAGCAGAGGGUGACUCAGGGGCGGGGUUACCGUGUGAUUGACAGGGUUGUUUUACGGUCUGUAGGGUUUGCGUCUGUUCAUCUUCAGACUUUAACCCUCUCAUAGUAUGUUUACACUUCAUGGCCAUUAACUGGAACAUUUUGGUCGCAUAAACAAUAUAUAUUUAUUACAUAUUUAUUUAUAUUUUCAGCGUUGGGUUGUAAUUAUCUCCCCCCCUCCUCCCCCCUUCCCAUCCCAGAACAUGGCCAAGAAACUGCACUGGAGGCUUCAAAAUGAUGGUUCACAAACUCCGUCACGUCGACUCCGUCCUCUUCAUAUUGAGGCUUCGGCCUCUCACAGGAUUUAAUUAACUUCUCUCCCAUUGAAUUAGUUUGGCUUCAUUCAGGCGACUCCACGCCGCUCCUGACGCGUUAACGUGACGCCUCUCGUUAACGCGCCCGGGAUUCAGACGGCUGAGUCGUGUGUGUGUGUCUGUGUGUGUGUGUGUGUGUGCGUCUCCUGGGGGAGAGGACAUGGCGGACUAGGAAUGUCUUCCAGUUGGUUGCUGCCGGUCUGACGGAAUACAAAUGAAACGGAGCGACGAAGGAAACAAAGAAUUCUCUGUGAGGAGGAAACACAGGAGCUCACGAGGAGCCGGUUGGCCUCGUUCCUCCUUUCAGAGCCGCUGAAACCUGUUGUUUUAUUUCGACGUGAUCAGUUACAGGACAAAAGGGACGUCACACUGAAACAAGAAACAAGCUCGAUCUGUCUGAAGCUUCACAUCGUCACAUAUUGAUCCAGUGUGGAUGUAGAAGUAUUGAUCAUGGCAGCCUGAAAGGAGCCUCGACCGACGACCACGUGGCUUCACGCCAACGCUGAACAAAGAAUCCGAUUGCUGCAAAUGCGUUUGCGCCGCACAAAUCAGGAAUCAGGAAACAUUUAUUGCCGAAAUAUGUCAGACAUACAAGGAAUGUGACUUGGCGACAACAGUGCACGAGGAAUAAAGUAAAAUUAAAUGCUAAUGCUAUGGGUUAGUAGAAUAAGGCUAUGGGUUAGUUUAAAAUAAAAGAAUAAAAGUUAAAAAAUAUAAAAAUAACUAGCGAACAGGAAGUGACAAAAGUGACGAGUGAAAAGUGGCAUGUGCAGUGUGAGGGGGAGUGACCGGUGGAGUGUUAUAGUCAGUCAGUGGGGGACCGGCUCUGUUGAUGAGCCCGACUGCCAACGGGAAGAAACUGUUCGUGUGGUGGGAGGUCUUAGUCCUGAUGGACCUCAGCCUCCUGCCAGAUGGAAGGGGCACAAACAGUUUUUGUCCGGGGUGAGAGGGGUCGGCUACCAUCUUUUUAGCUGCUUCAGAGACCUGGAAGCGAACAAGUCCUGCAGGGACGGCAGAUUGCAGCCGAUCAGCCUCUCUGCAGAGCGGAGGACACGCUGCAGCCUGUCCUUGUCCUUGGCUGUGGCUGCAGCGUACCAGACGCUGAUGGAGGAGCAGAGGAUGGACUCCAUGAUGGCCGUGUAGAAGUGGACCAUCGUCGUCUUUGGCAGGUUGAGUUUCUUCAGCUGCCUCAGGAAGAACAACCUCUGCUGAGCUUCUUCAAUCAAGUGAACAGGAAGUGACCAUGUUUGGACUGAGGAGGACAUAUUCAUCUCUGGUAGACCUGUCAAUCAUUGUGUAGCCCCGCACCGAA